rnacentral:lncRNA from 1 species
GGCUGCUGAGGGAGCUGGGGAGCUUCAGCCUUCAUCCCCCAGCCCCGAGAUGGGAGCCAGGGCUGGGCAGCACCUUGGCCUGUGCACCUCAGCCCCUGUUCUUCUUGCAGGUGCCUGCAGAGGGAGAUGCCCAAGGCAGCAGCACGUUGACAGCCCACAGACGGAAGACACCAACUAUGGUGACAUCCAGUACUCCACCAUCGCCCAUGUUCGACGGGACAGGCCUCCUCCCAUGCAGCACAUGAGAAACACCACGACAUAUGCCACAGUGACCCGCACCCAGAUCCGAUAGCGCUGCCACAGUGCAAGGGCACAGGAGCCUUGCCCAUGGCUACCUUUGCUCUGUCCAAGAGGGCUUGUGCAGCCAUAACAUGGGGCUGGGGGUGCACUUUGGUCUUCUUUGUUUGUUUGUUUUUUUGUCACAGGGAAGGGCUGUGAGUGUCUAGCCAAGACGAUAUAGGACUCAUACCUCCAUCUACAAGACAUAAAUACUUCUAAAAUACAUGACCUAUACCAAAUCUUACUGUGAAUGUAUUGAUUUUUUUUGAAUAAAAGAAAACAUCUUGCUAUGCUCA